GACGAACGCUGGCGGCGUGCUUAACACAUGCAAGUCGAACGGAAAGGCCCUGCUUUUGUGGGGUGCUCGAGUGGCGAACGGGUGAGUAACACGUGAGUAACCUGCCCUUGACUUUGGGAUAACUUCAGGAAACUGGGGCUAAUACCGGAUAGGAGCUCCUGCUGCAUGGUGGGGGUUGGAAAGUUUCGGCGGUUGGGGAUGGACUCGCGGCUUAUCAGCUUGUUGGUGGGGUAGUGGCUUACCAAGGCUUUGACGGGUAGCCGGCCUGAGGGGGUGACCGGCCACAUUGGGACUGAGAUACGGCCCAGACUCCUACGGGAGGCAGCGGUGGGGAAUAUUGCACAAUGGGCGGAAGCCUGAUGCAGCAACGCCGCGUGCGGGAUGACGGCCUUCGGGUUGUAAACCGCUUUCGCCUGUGACGAAGCGUGAGUGACGGUAAUGGGUAAAGAAGCACCGGCUAACUACGUG
rnacentral:rRNA from 1 species